GUGCUUGCUUCGGCAACACAUACACUAAAUUUUGAACGAUACAGAGAAGAUUAGCAUGGGCCCUGCACAAGGAUGACACACAAAAUAUAAAUAUUGAGUAACAAAAAUAU
ensembl:snRNA Gm26206 predicted gene, 26206